UCUUUCUUUCUUUCUUUCUUUCUUUCUUCUCUUCUUUUGUUCUCUCUCUCUUCCUCUCUGCCGAUUAUCAAUUCGAGUGAUUUGAGAUUGAAAUUGUGUGAGUAAUUCAUAGGGAGUUUAGUAGCUUGAUGAAUCAAAGGAGUGGGUGAGAUGUUGUGGUGGAUUGAGCUCGGGAAGGAGGAGUUUGAGUGCUGUUAUGAAAGAGAGAACUAGGGUUUUCUAUCUGAAUCGUUGUUUGAGUUAGGAAUUGAGAAAUUAGAGAUGGGUGUUGAUUAAUUUGAGGAUUAAGAUGGAAGUAUUGAGUGUGAAUCAGAGAAUCGAAGAUUGGAAUUUGAAUUAGGGUUAUGUUCUUGAGGAUUUUGGAUAAGAAGGAAAUAGAUGAAACAUGGAUAGGACUAGUAUUGACCGAAUCCGAAUCAGUUGGAGGUUGAGCAGCUAUGAAGGAUUAUGGAUUGUGUUCAAGGUGAUGAUGGUUGUAUUGAAGACAAAUGACACAAAUGGGUUCUGAAGCUGGAACUAGUUAUUUAGGAUUUUUAGCAUGUAAGUUAGGCUGCUGUUGAAGAUGGUGGUAAUAUUACUUGGUGGUGCUGAAUUGAGUUACCGCUUUAUUCCAAUGGAUUUGGUGGAGGAAGUGUAACUGUGUUACUCUAGCAACUUUGUAGGGAGUGAGUACAGUUUGGAGUUGAAAUUGACAUGGUUAUGAUGGGUAUGUAAUGGUGCUGAAGAUGUAGUCAGGUUGUGUUGAAUAACGGAGACUAAGUUUAUGACUGGAUGAUACGAGGGGUGAGCUUUUAGAACUCAAUUGGAAAAUGGGUAUUGCAGGUGUUAUGAAUUGGUUUAGAUGAAUGAGUUAGGAUAGUGUAUGAACUGUUGAUUGGUGGUAGUUUUGUCAGUCACAGGAUAUGGAAGAAGUAUAUGUUGUAGUAUGAAUGUAAUGGGUUAUUGUGGGUGUGGUAUGUCUUAGUGGAUUGGUAGGAUCAUAUCCGAUCUUAGAUGAAGUUGUCGAUUGAAGUAUCAAAGGAGCUGUUUGUUUUAGGAAAAGGUGUAGUUUUGUGCAAGUCUGUGAAAGCUUGGGACUACUCUUGUAGGUAAGCUGUAUUUGUACGUUGAAGUGAAUUAUAGAGCUGUCAUGAAUGAAUAAUUUGUGUAUUGUUGUAA